rnacentral:rRNA from 1 species
AUUGAACGCUGGCGGCAGGCCUAACACAUGCAAGUCGAGCGGAGCGGCGGACGGGUGAGUAAUGCCUAGGAAUCUGCCUGGUAGUGGGGGAUAACGUCCGGAAACGGGCGCUAAUCCCGCAUCAUAUCGGAUGAACCCAUAUGGGAUUAGCUAGUAGGUGGGGUAAAGGCUGACCUAGGCCACGAGCUCUAGCUGGUCUAAGAGGAGGAUCAGCCACACUGGGAAGGAGACACGGCCCAGACUCCAACGGGCGGCAGCAGUGGGGAAUAGUGCACAAUGGGCGCAAGCCUGAUGCAGCCAUGCCGCGUGUAUGAAGAAGGCCUUAGGGUUGUAAAGUACUUUCAGCGGGGAGGCGUUACCCGCAGAAGAAGCACCGGCUAACUCCGUGCCAGCAGCCGCGGUAAUAC